AAUAGAUACCCCGGUAGUCCACGCCGUAAACGAUGUCGACUUGGAGGUUGUUCCCUUGAGGAGUGGCUUCCGGAGCUAACGUGUUAAGUCGACCGCCUGGGGAGUACGGCCGCAAGGUUAAAACUCAAAUGAAUUGACGGGGGCCCGCACAAGCGGUGGAGCAUGUGGUUUAAUUCGAUGCAACGCGAAGAACCUUACCUACUCUUGACAUCCAGAGAACUUAGCAGAGAUGCUUUGGUGCCUUCGGGAACUCUGAGACAGGUGCUGCAUGGCUGUCGUCAGCUCGUGUUGUGAAAUGUUGGGUUAAGUCCCGCAACGAGCGCAACCCUUAUCCUUUGUUGCCAGCGGUUCGGCCGGGAACUCAAAGGAGACUGCCAGUGAUAAACUGGAGGAAGGUGGGGAUGACGUCAAGUCAUCAUGGCCCUUACGAGUAGGGCUACACACGUGCUACAAUGGCGUAUACAAAGAGAAGCGACCUCGCGAGAGCAAGCGGACCUCAUAAAGUACGUCGUAAGUCCGGAUUGGAGU
rnacentral:rRNA from 1 species